rnacentral:rRNA from 1 species
UACGUAGGGUGCGAGCGUUGUCCGGAAUUACUGGGCGUAAAGAGCUUGUAGGUGGUUUGUCGCGUUGUUCGUGAAAUCUCACGGCUCAACUGUGAGCGUGCGGGCGAUACGGGCAGACUAGAGUACUGCAGGGGAGACUGGAAUUCCUGGUGUAGCGGUGGAAUGCGCAGAUAUCAGGAGGAACACCGGUGGCGAAGGCGGGUCUCUGGGACGGUACUGACGCUGAGGCGCGAAAGCGUGGGGAGCGAACCGG